GGUGACCAAAGAGUAGCACCAGAGGAAAUGUAAUAACCAAAAUGGUUUGUGACAUAGGAAGCAUGCUUAGUACGUUUCAGUGUAAUCUUUCCAUCAGAUUCUGAAAGAUUUCAUAGUCAAGAUAAUUCCUCUUCUGGGGGCCUAAAUGUACACAGUACAUUGUGUGCCAGUACAAUUGUUUAAAGUUUUACUACCAACUGGUACAAAUAUUUAACAUUUAACAAUAUUUUGGAAAUGUAUUCUAUCAACAACAAAGAAUAUGUAUGUAAAAACAUUGUCGAUAAGGUACAGGAUUUGUGUCAAGAUAUUUGCCAAGGGAGACAUUUUACAGUUGAAAAAUAAAUUCCAAAAAAUGAUCCCUUACUGGUGACACUAUUCCUAUGUUACAUUGAACAUAUUUUAGGCUUUUCUAUUCUGCAAUGCCUUGUUACUUAUCAGCCAACUUAUACACGAACACAAUACAUCUGGGUUAAACUAAAAUGAUUCAUUUGCACACCGAUUGGACUCACGGUUGUGUACAGUGACAAUAUGACCUUAAGGUGGCGCUAGAGGAAAGCUCAUGGACGGUCCAAAAUGAAAGAGGCGUUAUCCUCUGUAGAACAUAAAUACAUUCAGUACAUUUCAAGGCAGAGGCAUUAAACUUGAACCAGACAUCAGCACUGCAGCUAGAACGCCAAAAACUCUAGUGACAGCGAAAAGGAUUUUGAAGCUGCUACACUUCUGACCCAUUGGCCCAACCACAAAAUGAGGAGGAAACCAUCAAGGUUUUAUUUUCAAGUAAUCCCCGGCUUCAGUAUUUUCAAUAGGCCGUGCCAUAAGCAACUAAGGGUUUUAUUAAUGUCAGCAGAGCGUACAGAAACCAAUCCCUGACUCUGUUACUGUAAACUCCUUGGAGCUUCUCAUAUGAUUAGACGGAUUAGUGUAAUGGUUUUGAGCCCAAGGCUAGAGAUGGAUGGAUGGGCGGCUGCCUUUCUGAAAUCAGCCCGUUUAUUUCACUGCUAUUCUGCCCCUUCCAUCCCCUUUGGAAAGUAUUGGGCACAGCAGUGGAGAACAGCUUAGAGUUUAUUAGUAGCACAGUAUACAGUACAUUUAUAUGUCUCAUUCAUCCUGUUUAGAUAUAAUUAAAAAUAAUAAGUCUUAUGUACAGACUAUUUCUCUGCCUUUAUGGUGGUUCCUCCCGCAUUCAUAUUUUGGUUUAACCCUCUGAGGGCUACUCAGAUUUUUAGAUAUCUUCUCAUUAGUGUUUGCAUAUAACUGAUCCCCAUGUGUUUCAUAUCAAAAUGUCCAGAAAAAACUUGGCUUUCUGUAUAGUGAGGCCCAAAAUUAUUCCAAAGCAAUGGAUAAAGAUGUAAUGUGGUCCUAAAGCGGAAAUAUUUCUCAAAUCUCUGGUGAUGACAUACAUACACUCAGUUGUUUUGGUGCUUGAAAUGAGUUUACCAAAGUCUUGGGUUCAUAAAAGCAGGCUAAUAUAUUUCACAAAAAAUAGUAAAUAAAGUACAUUUUAAAUUUGUAUCAUUGGUUUUUAAGUAUGCUUUUUAAUGUUGUUAAACUGCUUGGACUCUCCAGUGCGUCUUUUGUCCUCAGAGGGUUAAAGAUGAAAUAUGUAAUAUUGACAGCUAGUAUUUAAAAUAGUUACUGCAGUACAAAUUCAAAAUACUGUAGAGUCGUCUCCCCCGCCCCUUCCUCCCCAGACUCCAAGUUCAUGGAGGUUGCCAGGCUGAGGCCGCAGCAUCCACAACAAUGUUGCUAGACGCUAGUCUCACAGAGCCAGACGUUCCUUCACAGCACGGUGGAGUAGCUAAUGUUAGAGGCUAGCUAUGUUAACAGUCAUAAAAGCCUGUGCUCACGCGGAGAUCUGUGCCCAACUGGCAGACACACUUUUAAGGCUUAGAAUUACAGUAAGAACCG